rnacentral:misc_RNA from 1 species
AGUUUAGAAAAGUUCAAGUUGCAGUAAUCAACCACAAAAUGUCAUGAACUAAAAUGCCUUGUCCACAAUAUUGAGAUUUAAGAUAUAUAUGCUGUUUCGUCAAACUAACUUGUGAUAUAAACAACUUGUGAUUUUUGCUCAAAAAAUAAUUCCAAAAAGUUGACCCAAACACAUAUUCCUUGAAAUUGAUAUUUCUUCAAUUACUAAUUAAAUCCCGCUACAACCAUCAUCUUCAGAAUUCUUUGUGCAAUAGCCAAUGUGAUAAAAAUCUCAAAUUCCAAUACCCUUCAUUGAAGGGAACAGCCCUAAACUUUCAUCUCCAUCUCAUCGAAAGUCCCAAUAGGCUAGUAGAUUCAUUCCCAAAGUUACUGCACUUGAGCUUGCGAUCGAAGUUAAAGCUUUUAUGCCUUAGACUCGAGCAAUCAAACAACGAUUAAAACUACAAAUCCAUUCUCCAUUCGUGGUCAAUUUGUUACAAAAUCAACGGUAAACAUAAAUAAAUAAAUAAGUGAAUCAAAUUAAGACUAAUUUCUCAGAAAAUAAACAAACCCUAAUGCAAUUCAAGCAUAAAUUGCCCUGAAUGAACUGCACUAUGCAAU